rnacentral:rRNA from 1 species
CCUACGGGAGGCAGCAGUGGGGAAUCUUGCGCAAUGGGCGAAAGCCUGACGCAGCAACGCCGCGUGGAGGAAGAAGGCCUUCGGGUUGUAAACUCCUGUCAGGGGGGAAGAAGGCACCUGGGUGAAUAGCCCAAGGGCUGACGGUACCCCCAGAGGAAGCCACGGCUAACUACGUGCCAGCAGCCGCGGUAAUACGUAGGUGGCUAGCGUUGUCCGGAAUCAUUGGGCGUAAAGCGCGCGUAGGCGGCUUGUCAGGUCUGAUGUAAAAUCUCGGGGCUUAACCCCAGGCGUGCAUCGGAAACCGGCUUGCUAGAGUCUGGGAGAGGAGAGUGGAAUUCCUGGUGUAGCGGUAAAAUGCGUAGAUAUCAGGAGGAACACCGGUUGCGAAGGCGGCUCUCUGGGGUCAACCUGACGCUGAGGUGCGAAAGCGUGGGGAGCGAACCGGAUUAGAUACCCGGGUAGU